ACAUUUCUAUUAUAUCUGGUUUCUCCUUACAGUAGUCAUACUCUCGUCUCAAAGAUUAAGCCAUGCAUGUGUAAGUAUAAAUAUUUUACUUUGAAACUGCGAAUGGCUCAUUAUAUCAGUUAUAGUUUAUUUGAUGAAAUGUAUUACUUGGAUAUCCGUAGUAAUUCUAGAGUUAAUACAUGAUCAAUUCCUCGACUUAGAAGAGGUGUAUUUAUUAGAAUGAAAACCAAUAGACUCAGUCUAUUGGGGAGUAAUAAUAACUUGUCAUAUCGCAUGUUUAGGUAGCGAUGUUUCUUUUAAGUUUCUCCCCUAUCAGCUUUCGAGGGUAGUGUAUGGGACUCCCAGGCCAGUAACGGGUAACGAAGAAUUGGGUUUCGAUUUCGGAGAGGGACCCUGAGAGACGGCUCCCACAUCCAAGGAAGCCAGCAGGCGCGUAAAUUACCCAAUCCUGACACAGGGAGGUAGUGACAAUAAAUCACAAUGCGGAACUUUAGUUUUGCAAUUGGAUUGAGAACACGCACAACAGUUAUCGAUAAACAAUUGGAGGGCAAGUCUGGUGCCAGCAGCCGCGGUAAUCCAGCCCAAUGGGAGU
rnacentral:rRNA from 1 species